rnacentral:tRNA from 1 species
GGUAAUGGCCGGGAUAGCUCAGUUGGUAGAGCAGAGAGG